rnacentral:piRNA from 1 species
UUUUUAGCAUAAAAGAAAUCUGGGCCU